GCUGGGCGUGGUGCCGCAUGCCUGUAAUCCCAGCUACUUGGGAGGCUGAGACAGGAGAAUCACUUGAACCCGGGAGGCAGAGGCUGCAGUGAGCUGAGACUGUGCCACUGCACUCCAGCCUGGGUAACAGAGCGAGACUCCAUCUCAA
rnacentral:SRP_RNA from 1 species